rnacentral:rRNA from 1 species
UGGCCUUGACAUAGAAAGAAUAUAGCAGAGAUGUAAUAGUGCUAGUUUACUAGAGCUUUCAUACAGGUGCUGCACGGCUGUCGUCAGCUCGUGUCGUGAGAUGUUGGGUUAAGUCCCGCAACGAGCGCAACCCUCACUAAUAGUUAAUAACGGUUCGGCCGAUGACUCUAUUAGGACUGCCUUCGUAAGGAGGAGGAAGGUGAGGACGACGUCAAGUCAUCAUGGCCCUUACGGCCAGGGCUACACACGUGCUACAAUGGGGUAUACAGAGAGCCGCGAUACCGUAAGGUGGAGCAAAUCUUUAAAAUAUCUCCCAGUUCGGAUAGCAGUCUGCAACUCGACUGCUUGAAGUUGGAAUCGCUAGUAAUCGUAAAUCAGCAAUGUUACGGUGAAUACGUUCCCGGGUCU